ACCGCUUGUGUACAACUAGAUCCGAAUUAGAACUUCUUGGUCAUGCGUUUUCAGUAAACUGAAAAGGGCUGCAGGUUUCAGGCCACGAGAGGCCCAGGUUACCGCCAAAAUAUUUAUUGGCCCCAAAGCCCCGCGUGUUUCGGACAGAAUGGUCCCUGCUUUGCACUGAGGACAUGGGGGUUGGAAGCGUUUUCUUUCUCAAUGAACUACCACAGUAAAUCUGUACUCCGCAACUUAAAGGGCCCUCGUAUCUUUUCUGACCAGAAUUGGAGCACUGAUUGACUGUGACCUCACCAGAGCUUUAUCAAGGUUCAGCAUCUUUUCCGUGUUUUGUCACCGUGCCUGGAGACAGCCUUUGAAGCGACGUUAUCUACUCAGGUGGGAAUUUAUGCUUUCUGGUCUGUUAUGAUACCAGCGAUCGUUGCCAAAGCCCUGUUGCCUGUGGAGAAGGUGAUGUUUAACUUUCCUGUGCUGCUGCAGUUCGUAUGAUGAAGGUGCUCCCACAAUGCGGCCAUUUGAGAAGUUACAGAUCGUUCAUCUAGCGAUACUGAAGAGCUGGUGGUGAUAUUACAAGUGGACUUUCAGGUGGGAGUCUCCAUAAUUGUAACACCAAACUCUGACAGAAUUACUCAAUUCAUCAGGACCUGGAUAUUCACAUUGUGUAUUUCCACAAUUUUACUUCUGCACUGUUCUGAACCUUUCAAUCCCUCUGAAAGACUGAGUUACAGAUUUAUACAAUGCCUGUUCUUCCUCCCUGGCUCUCCUACCUCUCUUUCGGUAAUUUUGUGCAAACACUGACUUGAAUACCUUACCUGGAGGAUACUUAUGAAUGGAUUUGUUCUAUUGAUAAUCCAAUAUAUUCCCCAAGUGUCGCUCCACAAAUGUCCAGAGGACUUCUCAGUUUCACAGUCUGUUUUCUCUUCUGGUUUCUCACUCAUUGCACUUACUUUCUGUUUGAAAGCUUAGCCUGCAGUUAGAGAAUUCGAACUGUUCCACAUCCAGGUCUGACAGUCACUUUAUUUAUCACAACCCAAUUAUCUCAGGAUUUUGAACAUUGAAGGAGAAAGCAACACUCACACUUGGAGAAAUGCAAAUGGUUUGUGUGUCAAAGAGUCUGUGAAGAUUCAUCUGAAAUGUCCUAACACCAGCGCAGUGACACUGGGGAGAGACUGUGGAAAUGGGCAGAUUGCAGGAAGGAAUUUCUUCAUCCAUCCCAGCUGGAAACUGACCACCAGAGUCACACUGGAGAGAAACCAUUCACCUGCUCUGAUUGUGGAAUGUGAUUCGCUCAGUCAUCUAACCUGCUUAAACACCAGGGAGUUCACACUGGAGAGAAACCAUUCACUUGCUUGGAAUGUGGGAAAGCAUUCACUCAGACAACUCAGCUGCUGAUACACCAGCAAAUUCACACCGAAGAGAGACCAUUGGCCUGUUCUGUGUGUGGGAAAGUUUUUCUGACUCAAGUUCCCCUCUGACACACCAGCAAGUUCACUCUGGGAAGAGACCGUUCGUGAGCUCUGACUGGGAAAGCAUUCACUCAGUCAUCCAAACAGUCACAAAGAACCACAGUUGAAGCAUUUUGCUAUCACUCUCAUGAUCAAAUGAACCUAAGUUUUGGGCUGUUUGUACUGAUGUUACUGCUUUACUGCUCAAUUAAAGGUGCUGGUAUUGUGAAUAAAAGGUUAAUAACAGUUGUAUAUCUGUCAGGUGGAGCUUGGAAAUAGUCAGGUCAUGACACAUUGACACAUUCACACUGACUAAAGACUAUCCACCAGCACAUUAUGUGAAA